UUGUGUGUGUGUAUACUCCUUCCCUGCGUUCCCAAUCGCAUACUUCUAUUUUUUACUCUUAGUAUGUACUGCAGCUGCC